rnacentral:tRNA from 1 species
GGUCGCAUAGCUCAGUUGGUAGAGCAUCCCGGUCACAUCGGGAAGGUCCCUCGUUCGAGCCGAGGUGCGACCACCA